GAUGAACGCUGGCGGCGUGCCUAAUACAUGCAAGUCGAGCGAACAGAUGAUGAGCUUGCUCCUCUGACGUUAGCGGCGGACGGGUGAGUAACACGUGGAUAACCUACUUAUAAUACUGGGAUAACUUCGUGAAACCGGAGCUAAUACCGGAUAAUAUAUUGAACCGCAUGGUUCAAUAGUGAAAGACGGUUUUGCUGUCACUUAUAGAUGGUUCCGCGCCGCAUUAGCUAGUUGGUAAGGUAACGGCUUACCAAGGCAACGAUGCGUAGCCGACCUGAGAGGGUGAUCAGCCACACUGGAACUGAGACACGGUCCAGACUCCUACGGGAGGCAGCAGUAGGGAAUCUUCCGCAAUGGGCGAAAGCCUGACGGAGCAACGCCGCGUGAGUGAUGAAGGUCUUCGGAUCGUAAAACUCUGUUAUUAGGGAAGAAAAAAUGUGUAAGUAACUAUGCACGUCUUGACGGUACCUAAUCAGAAAGCAACGGCUAACUACGUG
rnacentral:rRNA from 1 species